AUGCACGCUGGCGGCGUGCCUCAUCCAUGCAAGUCGCGCGCACGGACGAGAAGCUUGCUUCUCUGAUGUUAGCGGCGGACGGGUGAGUAACACGUGGAUAACCUACCUAUAAGACUGGGAUAACUUCGGGAAACCGGAGCUAAUACCGGAUGAUAUUUUGAACCGCAUGGUUCAAAAGUGAAAGACGGUCUUGCUGUCACUUAUAGAUGGAUCCGCGCUGCAUUAGCUAGUUGGUAAGGUAACGGCUUACCAAGGCAACGAUGCAUAGCCGACCUGAGAGGGUGAUCGGCCACACUGGAACUGAGACACGGUCCAGACUCCUACGGGAGGCAGCAGUAGGGAAUCUUCCGCAAUGGGCGAAAGCCUGACGGAGCAACGCCGCGUGAGUGAUGAAGGUCUUCGGAUCGUAAAACUCUGUUAUUAGGGAAGAACAUAUGUGUAAGUAACUGUGCACAUCUUGACGGUACCUAAUCAGAAAGCCACGGCUAACUACGUG
rnacentral:rRNA from 1 species